GGAGACGGAAAUUAUCGACAGUUAACCUGAUCACCAGUUAAACUGGAACACCGGCUCACUGUGCUGCAUACAAUUACACACUACGUCGUACGAUUGAGACAAGGAAACUUGGAAUGACUUUUCAUAGGUUUCCCAGAGACUAUGGGUUGAGGAGGAAGUGGAAGUUUGUCGGUUUACACCUGGUGUCAUUCCAUCAGUGUUUAACUUCCCGGCUCAUCUUGGAAGAGUACGUGCCAGAAAGACCACGACCAAGCAGCCUUGAGAUCUUAGGCAGCAUCUCCCUGAGGUCCCUCUCUAUCUCCCCACACAUCCACCAACCACUGGAACACAUCUCCAAAGUUCUGCCGGACCAGCUCAGCUUCCCCUCAGAAGAAGUGGUGCCACCUGCCAGAUGAAGGAACCUUUUAGAGGCAGCUGGCAUCGUGAUUGGACUGUACUUUGGUCUGUUCCAAUCCAGCUUCAGCUCCAGAGAUGGCAGGCGGGACGAGUCAAUGGAGGCCGGGUGGACGAAGGUAUGCAGCUGAGUACAAUCCAGAAAACAACAGAGGAGGAGUGCAGCAGCCCAGAGCCAGAACAAGCAGAGUAUGUCUCUUAGAAAACAUCAUAGUAUAGCCUUUGGUAUGAAAAAACACCAUCAUAUAC
ensembl:lncRNA